rnacentral:rRNA from 1 species
CGAUGGAGGGGGAUAACUACUGGAAACGGUAGCUAAUACCGCAUAACGUCGCAAGACCAAAGAGGGGACCUUAGGGCCUCUUGCCAUCGGAUGUGCCCAGAUGGGAUUAGCUAGUAGGUGGGGUAACGGCUCACCUAGGCGACGAUCCCUAGCUGGUCUGAGAGGAUGACCAGCCACACUGGAACUGAGACACGGUCCAG